UGAGCCAGGGACGGCAAGUGCCUAGUGUAUCUGCAAAGAGCCUCUUGCACGCUCUCCUGGGUUACAACAACCUAUGUUCGCUGAAAAUGCUGCCUCUCUAUUGCCUCUUCCAUAAAAUAUUUUACUUCGAUCACAUACUUAAGGAAGAAUUACUCUAUCGGCCAUUGUACGUAUCAUCUCGCAUUGAUCAUUCCCAGAAAGUUGGUGUACCCCUUCGUCACACAAAAAUUUACUCUGACUCACUUAUACCAGAGUCCUUCCAUGUUUUUUUCUGGCCACGAAACUGCCGCCUCAGUUUCAUAUAGCGCCAGCGCCCGCCGCUAGAGGCGCAACCGUGCAUGAGAGGGCAUGCGAACACCGCUACCGCUGUUUUUGUGGAUGGGGCAGCCUUGGUAUUCUAGCUUUCUCAACUUCCACAACAGUCGCUUUACUUUCAUGUAACGAUUUUUAACAUUCCACAUGCAUAAAUAACUGCCUGAGCGCGUUUUCUGCCAUGAAAUGAGCGCCCGGGACGAAAAAAAAAAACCGCUCAUAACAUGGACCUUGCGGCGGUCUCAGU
rnacentral:lncRNA from 1 species